ACCUUAAAGAACCUGCCUUUGUAGUGCUCACACAGAUUGUCUGAUGAACAGUAAAUAGCAAGGCGUCUUGCGAUUGAGACUUCAGUGUCCCCUUCGUCUAGAGGCCCAGGACACCGCCCUUUCACGGCGGUAACAGGGGUUCGAAUCCCCUAGGGGACGCCACUUGCUGGUAUGUGUGAGUGAAAGUCGCCGACCCCAGUAUCUCAAAACUUACCUUCGGGUGACGUUUGAGAUAUUUGCUCUUUAAAAAUCUGGAUCAAGCUGAAAAUUGAAACGACACACUGUUUCAUUUCUCCGUAAUAAGAAAUGAAAAACGGUGUGCUCGAGUCUCUCAAAUUUUUGCAAGUCGAUGAUGAAUCGAAAGAAACAUCUUCGGGUUGUGAGGUUAAGCGACUAAGCGUACACGGUGGAUGCCCCGGCAGUCAGAGGCGAUGAAGGACGUGCUAAUCUGCGAUAAGCGUCGGUAAGGUGAUAUGAACCGUUAUAACCG
rnacentral:misc_RNA from 1 species